rnacentral:lncRNA from 1 species
GCUGAAUGUAUUGACAUGUAAUUUCUACAAUAAUAAGCCAAAAUACUCACAUGUUGCACAUAAAAAUCUUCUUUUUAUCAAAUUUUAUUACAUUUUGAAGUGGCACAGAAGCCCGAAAACGCCCGGUGUUUAUGUUCGACGCCGGAAGCAUACCUAUGACGUCACCUAGUGUAGAGACCAAAGAAGAUAACUUCUUUUCGC